GCGGACGUGGCGGAAUUGGUAGACGCGCCAGGUUUAGGUUCUGGUAUCGCAAGAUGUGAGAGUUCAAGUCUCUCCGUCCGCACCA
rnacentral:tRNA from 1 species